GAUCGAUAAAACAAUUUAUUUGAAACUUACGGAAAUUAAGCAUUACAUUUUUCAUAACAAAGCAAUCCAAAUAACACUUUCUUAAUCCUAGAUGCUGAAAUCAUAAAAAGAUCAUCCUAUUCGGGUCAUGGACACAGUGACAUUAACGAGCUUGGUCUUCUCACCGGACAUGCUAAUCUUGAUAUUAUCUGUGUACCUCUUAAACACCUCCUCAAUUAUCGAAUCGCCAAAGUGACUCAAGACCAAAGGCUCUGCAACAGCUCUCAUACAUUUUCCCAUAUUGUAUCCUUGCACGUCCUCUUUGGAUAAAUUUAGAUUGUUGUCUGUGCAAGCAUCCCAAUUUACUUCAGAAACCUCAAGGCAAUCAAUCACAAACGACCCUUCUUUCUCGACUUCAUUACUCACUUCUUUAGGAUUCGGUGUGUAUUGUGGAAUGUUAAAUGAAUCUAGUUUCUCUUCUUCUAUAAAAUGUACCUCGGCAACCAUAUCCUUUAGGGAUGUGGCUAAUAGGUCCCAUACGUAACAACAUUCUUUGCUACAAGGAUCAUCGCUUUGCCUCCCUAGUAUUGUCAAAACCAUACGCCCUCCACUAACCAUCUCCUCUGCACGAUACUUGAGAAAUGUCAAAAAAUCGCUUUGAAAUUGCUCACGGUAUGCUU
rnacentral:lncRNA from 1 species